ACUCCUACGGGAGGCAGCAGUGAGGAAUAUUGGUCAAUGGGCGAGAGCCUGAACCAGCCAAGUCGCGUGAAGGAUGACUGCCCUAUGGGUUGUAAACUUCUUUUUUAGGGGAAUAAAGUGAGUCACGUGUGACUUUUUGUAUGUACCCUACGAAUAAGCAUCGGCUAACUCCGUGCCAGCAGCCGCGGUAAU
rnacentral:rRNA from 1 species